UACGGAGGGUGCAAGCGUUAUCCGGAUUCACUGGGUUUAAAGGGUGCGUAGGAGGGUCUGUAAGUCAGCGGUGAAAUCUCUGAGCUUAACUCGGAAACUGCCAUUGAUACUAUAGAUCUUGAAUACCGUGGAGGUGAGCGGAAUAUGUCAUGUAGCGGUGAAAUGCUUAGAUAUGACAUAGAACACCAAUUGCGAAGGCAGCUCACUACACGCAUAUUGACUCUGAGGCACGAAAGCGUGGGGAGCAAACAGG
rnacentral:rRNA from 1 species